rnacentral:lncRNA from 1 species
UUGUGGAUAUCCAUUUAACUUGUAACAUUUCUCCCUGAUAUGUCCCGCCUUUUUGCAGAAAUCACAAAACAUAGCAUUCCUAUUGCUAUUGCUGCCUGAGUAAUAAUUGGAUCCUCCAUAGUUAUUGUUAUUUCCUGAGGUACUGUUACUUCCAGAAUAGUUGUUGUUAGAGAAUGAUGUCUUGUAGUUCCUUCCUGCUGGGCCCUUUCCAUUAC